GGGUGAUCUGGCUUCAACAUCUACCACCCAUUGAUCACCAGGGUUGAUUCAGCUGAUGUCUGGCUAUACAGGUGUCCCUUUCCUCCAGUGUUCCAUGCGUAACCCUCCUGAAGUUGAAAACUUGGUUGGAGAGGAUGACCUUCCCUGAUAGAAGAGGACCAUUCUUUAAUCAAGGGUGUUCAAGUAGCUCUCUAAGCUCUCAAGGUAAAGGUCUCACCUGCACUGUCAGUCUUAUAGUCAAUCAUAAUGUAUCAACACAUAAAGAAACUAAUAGCUAUAAAAAUUGUUGAAGAGGCUGACAUUU
rnacentral:lncRNA from 1 species